GGUUAAGCUACUAAGGGCGCACGGUGGAUACCUAGGCGCUGGGAGCCGAUGAAGGGCGCGGCAAACGGCGAAACGCCUCGGGGAGCCGUAAGCAGGCGUUGAUCCGGGGAUUCCCGAAUGGGGCAACCCCCUGUCCCUAAUCGGACAGGAUCCAUCUUCCGAAUCCAUAGGAGAUGGAGGGCACACCAGGGGAACUGAAACAUCUUAGUACCCUGAGGAGAAGAAAGCAACCGCGAUUCCCUGAGUAGCGGCGAGCGAAAGGGGAACAGCCCAAACCGGUGGGCUUGCCCACCGGGGUUGUAGGACGUCCCAUACGGAGUGACAAAGGACGAGGAUAGGCGAACACGUCUGGAAAGGCGGGCCAUAGAGUGUGACAGCCACGUAGCCGAAAUCUUCGUCCCUCCGGGACGGAUCCUGAGUACGGCGGGACACGUGAAAUCCCGUCGGAAUCCGGGAGGACCAUCUCCCAAGGCUAAAUACUCCCCAGCGACCGAUAGUGAACCAGUACCGUGAGGGAAAGGUGAAAAGCACCCCGGGAGGGGAGUGAAAGAGAACCUGAAACCGUGUGCCUACAACCAGUCGGAGCACGAUGCCCGUCAGGGCCGUGUGACGGCGUGCCUUUUGUAGAAUGAACCGGCGAGUUACGGUCUCGUGCGAGGUUAAGCCGAAGAGGCGGAGCCGCAGCGAAAGCGAGUCUGAACAGGGCGCAAAGGGUUCCCAAAAAAGUACUACUUUUUUGGGGUCCCUAGUACGGGGCCGUAGACCCGAAACCGUGUGAUCUACCCAUGUCCAGGGUGAAGGCAGGGUAAUGCCUGCUGGAGGCCCGAACCCACGCAUGUUGAAAAAUGCGGGGAUGAGGUGUGGGUAGCGGUGAAAUGCCAAUCGAACACGGAGAUAGCUGGUUCUCCCCGAAAUAGCUUUAGGGCUAGCCUCGGACGAUGAGUGCUGGAGGUAGAGCACUGAUUGGACUAGGGGCCCACACAGGGUUACCGAAUUCAGUCAAACUCCGAAUGCCAGUCACUUUAGUCCGGGAGUCAGACCACGAGUGAUAAGAUCCGUGGUCGAGAGGGAAACAGCCCAGACCAUCAGCUAAGGUCCCCAAGUGUACGUUAAGUGGAAAAGGAUGUGGCGUUGCUUAGACAACCAGGAUGUUGGCUUAGAAGCAGCCAUCAUUUAAAGAGUGCGUAAUAGCUCACUGGUCGAGUGACGCUGCGCCGAAAAUGUAACGGGGCUAAACGUACCACCGAAGCUAUGGAUCCGCAAGGAUGGUAGGGGAGCGUACCAAGGGCAUGGAAGCCGGACCGGAAGGACCGGUGGAGCGCUUGGUAGUGAGAAUGCCGGUGUGAGUAGCGAUAAGACAAGUGAGAAUCUUGUCCGCCGAAAGCCUAAGGUUUCCUGAGGAAGGUUCGUCCGCUCAGGGUUAGUCGGGACCUAAGCCGAGGCCGAAAGGCGUAGGCGAUGGGAAACAGGUUGAAAUUCCUGUACCACCUUUAGCCGUUUGAGCGACGGGGUGACGCAGGAGGGUAGGGUGAGCGUGCUGCUGGAAUAGCACGUCCAAGCCGUUAGGCUGAAGCGCAGGCAAAUCCGCGCUUCGUAAAGGCUGAGCGGUGAUGGCGAGGGAAACAUCAGUACCGAAGUCCCUGAUCCCACACUGCCGAGAAAAGCCUCUAGCGAGGCUAAAGGUGCCCGUACCGCAAACCGACACAGGUAGGCGAGGAGAGAAUCCUAAGGCGCGCGGGAGAACCCUCGUUAAGGAACUCGGCAAAAUGACCCCGUAACUUCGGGAGAAGGGGUGCCUCGCGUAGGGUGAGGGGUGACCCGAGCCCGAGGAGGCCGCAGUGAAAAGGCCCAAGCGACUGUUUAGCAAAAACACAGGUCUCUGCAAAGCCGUAAGGCGACGUAUAGGGGCUGACGCCUGCCCGGUGCUGGAAGGUUAAGGGGAAGGGUUAGCCGCAAGGCGAAGCUCUGAACCGAAGCCCCAGUAAACGGCGGCCGUAACUAUAACGGUCCUAAGGUAGCGAAAUUCCUUGUCGGGUAAGUUCCGACCCGCACGAAAGGCGUAACGACUUGGGCGCUGUCUCAACGAGGGACCCGGUGAAAUCGUACUACCCGUGAAGAUGCGGGUUACCCGCGGCAAGACGGAAAGACCCCGUGGAGCUUUACUGCAGCCUGAUAUUGGGUUUGGGUACCGCUUGUACAGGAUAGGUGGGAGCCGUGGAAGCCGGACCGCCAGGUUCGGUGGAGGCGUCGGUGGGAUACCACCCUGGCGGUAUCGAAAUCCUAACCCGCGGCCGUGAUCCGGUCGGGGGACAGUGUCAGGUGGGCAGUUUGACUGGGGCGGUCGCCUCCCAAAAGGUAACGGAGGCGCCCAAAGGUUCCCUCAGCAUGGUUGGAAAUCAUGCGCAGAGUGCAAAGGCAGAAGGGAGCUUGACUGCGAGACUGACAAGUCGAGCAGGGACGAAAGUCGGGCUUAGUGAUCCGGUGGUUCCGCAUGGAAGGGCCAUCGCUCAACGGAUAAAAGCUACCCCGGGGAUAACAGGCUGAUCUCCCCCAAGAGUCCACAUCGACGGGGAGGUUUGGCACCUCGAUGUCGGCUCAUCGCAUCCUGGGGCUGAAGUAGGUCCCAAGGGUUGGGCUGUUCGCCCAUUAAAGCGGUACGCGAGCUGGGUUCAGAACGUCGUGAGACAGUUCGGUCCCUAUCUGCCGCGGGCGCAGGAAAUCUGAGAGGAGCUGUCCCUAGUACGAGAGGACUGGGAUGGACACACCGCUGGUGUACCAGUUGUUCCGCCAGGAGCACAGCUGGGUAGCUAUGUGUGGACGGGAUAAGCGCUGAAAGCAUCUAAGCGCGAAGCCCACCUCAAGAUGAGAUUUCCCAUCGCGCAAAGCGAGUAAGACCCCUCGAAGAUGACGAGGUAGAUAGGUCUGGAGUGGAAGCGCAGCAAUGCGUGGAGCGACCAGAUCCUAAUCGGUCGAGGGCUUAACCAA
rnacentral:rRNA from 1 species